rnacentral:lncRNA from 10 species
AGCCUUGGAUUCAUCAUGGCUUCGACAUCGCCGGCCCUGGGCCAGUGUUCGAGAGCAUGGCCCCAAACAGUUCUUGCUCUGUUCAGCUCCCCACAUUGCCAAGCUGCGAGCGGGCUCUCUGUGCUUCCUGCCUUCUGUCUGCCUCGCCUGUUCUCUCCAGGUAGGCGGCUCCUCCUCCAAGCUCCCCCAGCCCUGGGCUGACCUCUGUCACCUGGAUGGUGGGUGCGGGUUCUCCGGGCAUGCACCUCGUUCCCCUCUUUACUCCCAGCAGUGGCUGAAACUUGUGGGUGCUUGAUCGUGCUAGUUAAAUGAAUGAACAUGUGGUGGUUACAGGCAAACCCACAAUGCCACACAGGACACCGACCAACAACUGAAAACGGUGACAGCUGCCCUUACCCGCAGCUCCCCAGCGUAGCCCUCCCCCAUCGCAGCCAGACCGGCUUGCCCACUGCGCAGCAAGGCGGAGCCCCGCACAGCUAAGCCCGGGCGUGGUGCUCGCGGCGCCCUCUGCUGGCCGGGCCCACGGCCUCCUCCUGCGCACGCGCGCCGCCACCCCGGGACCAGACCUAAAGGGAGAAGGCGCGAUCUGGGGCCCUCCCUCCGCACCCCCUCGCCCCGAGAAGCCCCAAACCCAGGUCUUUGACCCUCAUGAACAUCCUUUGUCCUUCCUCUCUCCUGCUCCCCCUGCAAACAUUUUAGGCAUCCCUAAAUGAUCACCAGCCCUCGCCUGCUCUCUUAGCAGGCCUCCAGGUGGGGUUAGAAUUGUCAAAUGCUGGCACAGGACGAAACCCUAAUAAUAAUAACUAUGAUGAUGACGGCAGCUGCUGCUGAGCGGGCACUUUGUGGUUACCUUAGCAACCUUCCACCAUCCAGGAAGUGCAGCCCCUUCUUUCACAGGCGGCAGCUGCAGCCAGAGGCGUGCGGGGACUUCCCAAGGUCACACAGCAAGAAUCCUAAGAAACCCGGGGUGUUUCCUCUGCCUACGUGGAGCUAACCCUGCCUCCAGAAGCAGGGGCCUUGAGAUGGGAGCAGAGCGAUCUGGUGCCCCGGAAACCCCACCCCCACCCCCACCUUGCCCCAUGCGCAGCGAACGUGGCUACAUUUCCUAUCGUUUGUCCAACCCAUCAUUUUGCCUUUGGGAAAAUUGCAGGGGAGGUGGAGGCCAGAGGACAGGGAGACAAACGUUCGUGGGCAUCUGCCACGAGCACAUUUGCCACGCUUUGUGACAGGCCCUUUCCCGUUACACACCACACCUGCCCAGGACCGCAGCACAGAACCAGGACCCAAACCCGCCGACUCCCUCCCUAGUGCUCCUUCCUCACCCCCCACCCCCUCCCCCCUCCGCAAGUUCUCUCUUGGAAAAGGGGCCGCUGGGAAGGGGAGGAAACGCACUCACUACAGGACUCCAGGUGGGGUCCAGAGGCUCUGCCCCUGGUGCCUCUUCCCCAGCCCUAAAGCCCCCAGCCCUAGAGAGGGGACCCUCCUGCACAACAUCUCCAGGGGACCGGGUACUCCACUAGGGUCGAGAAACGUUGAAUAGUGCGGUGGGUGCGGGAGGCGCGCCUAGGUGCCGAAACCCGGUCUGUGCUGCCAUCCUGUGGCCAUUGCAGGAAGUGUGCCUGUCAGGCCGCUCUGCAUUGAACCUGAAAUGCCGGGUCACCCUUGGGUUGAGUGAAACCGGGCCCCAUGCUGAGGCUACAAGGGACAUAGAAAGGGACAAGACGCAGCCCGUGCCCUGAAAGAGCUUACAGUUCGGUAGGAUGGCCUUCAAAUGACAUGAUCCAACACUCAACUCGGCGCCAGAUACCGCCCAAAAUAGAAGAUCGUGCAAAAGGUUCCAAAAGGUGGAGGCAGCCUGCCCCGAAGCACAUCGAGAAAGCCCUCCUGCAGCAAAGCCGUGUCGAGACUGGGCCUUACAGGGCAGGCGGGGCUGGGGCAAACAGAGAUGAAGGAAGGCGCUCCAGGCGGAGAGACCAGCCUGAGCAAAGGCACAGGGGCAGGAAACACGGAUUCUCAGGAAUCCAGCUUGUCCCAAGUCUAGGUCAACUGUGAAGGGGAGAGCAGCAUGGCCAGGUCCUCCAGUGCCCAGGUAGGAGGUUUCACUUAACCCUUUAGGCCACGCGGCCAACAAAGGUCUUUGAGCAAGCCAGCAGCUUGACCAGAAGUCUGUCCAGGAAAAGAGCAUGAUAGCUGGGGAACGGGGGCAAAUGGGUGAGGUUUCAGAGCAAUUAGGAAGGAAGGAGAACAGGAGGAGGCAUGAGCGACGCGGAUGGUGGUGCCACUGGCAGAGCUGGGAAGUCAGGGGCCACGCAGGGGAGACCAGGGCUGGGGUUUAAGUUCCUGGCAGAACAUCCCAGUGAAGACGUCCUUCAGGAAGCCAGAAAGAAUACAUUAAUAAAAGAGGAAGUAAUAGUUAUUGCUCAUAUGUGUACAGACUUUAUAGUAAAUAAAGCAGCUUAAUCCAUC